CAGAUGAUUCAUUGCUGGAAGGAGGAGAGGCAUGUGCUCACACACAACAUGGUGAGGUUUGGACCCCGGACCCUAGUGGGUGCCAGGAGGGCAAGACAGCCAAAAAGAAGAGAGGAAACAAAAUUCCUGCUCUGACCCACAACUUGGUCAGAUUCUGCUCAAGGACCCUUGUGGGAGCCAGGAGGGCAGCAGAUAUUUCUGACCGGGAGCAGGCAGCUGGAGUCAGGUCUCAGAAAAGGGGAUUUUCAGCAUGUCAACUACAAGGAGAGAAGGAAGUGGACCUUCAUAUAUGCACAUAGUGAAGACGCCCAAGAUAAACCUCUAAGAGAAAAAACAAGCUGUGGAACAGUAUGGUAUAGUAUGAUGCUUAAAAAAAAAAAAAAAAAAAAGACUGGAGAGCCAUCUACCCACUAACUUGGCUUUUUUUCUUCCUUACUUAUGUAUUUCCUUAAUUGUAUAUGUAAGGGCCAGAAUUCUGAGAGGUGGUGGGGAUUCCAUUUUCAAUAUUAUACUUUUCUGCAUGGGACUUUUCCAGAGUGAACAUGUAUCCAUUUGAUAAUUAUAAAAAGCAAAAAGAAAUGGGCAAGUUAGUUAUGAAAUAAUAAAAUUAAUGGACACACUGAUGUAAGGCAUUUUGGUCAAUCUUAGGCAGUCAUGUUCGUUGGGAUCUCUUUGAGACCAAAGCCUGAGCCUUGUUUUAUCUUUGCAGUGUCUGUAGCCUUUGGCACGUGGUAGGUUCUCACUGGACGCUAUUUAAAAUAAAACACAUAAAUAAUAAAAGUACUCCUAAGGACUUAUUCAAGUUAGUGUCAGUGUUUUGUUUUGGCUCAUUACUUUCAACUUUUCUUUAGGUCGGUCUUUUUCACUAAUUCACUGU